rnacentral:rRNA from 1 species
UACGGAGGGGACUAGCGUUGUUCGGAAUUACUGGGCGUAAAGCGCACGUAGGCGGAUUUGUAAGUCAGGGGUGAAAUCCCGGGGCUCAACCUCGGAACUGCCUUUGAUACUGCAAAUCUCGAGUCCGGAAGAGGUGAGUGGAAUUCCUAGUGUAGAGGUGAAAUUCGUAGAUAUUAGGAAGAACACCAGUGGCGAAGGCGGCUCACUGGUCCGGUACUGACGCUGAGGAGCGAAAGCGUGGGUAGCGAACAGG